CCCUCUCCCUCACGGCGCCCUGGUCCCUUUUCGAUCCUUUCCUGAUCCCUAUUCCGGAGCGGCUAUCAGCUGCAGGAAUUGGCAGAUUGAAGUUGAAGGUAGUAGAACCUCUUGUAGCCUGCUGGAAACCUGUCACCAUAAUGCAACCGAGCUUUCUUCAAUUGGUGUUCGGCAAGAGAGAUUCCAUUGCAGAGUAUUGUCCAAAAUACGUAAUCUGGUGGGGUGAUCUCGACUUUUGCAUUGCUUAUUGAGUAACUGUGGUAUAGUUUGAAGGUGUCUUUUAACACUUGUAUAUCAGCAUUCCAGAUGGUGCACUGGAUUUUAGUGCCCUGCAUAUGGCAUUGCUUAAUUGUUUGAAAUCACAAAUAUCUAGGUACUCUUUUUAGGCAGAGGCAUCAUACAAUUAUGCUAACCUUAGUCAAUAAGCAUAAGUUUUUGGUAAGUCUGAUCCCCUGAAGUUACUUUGGGGUAACCUUUUUCAAUUACCAUUGCCUGAACCGUCCAGUUGGUCAUUCCUUCUCCGACAUUCACAAUCAUCCACAAUUUGUCUGCCGUGGCUCAGGCAACAAUGGGAACCUGUAUUUGUAAAGUUGUAUUAUGUAAAAUGUAAAAGUUUCUAUUUAAGCAGAUAAACACUACGGCUUAUGUAUUUAAUUGUUCCUUAUGAUGCAAAUAUUACAUAAAAAGGUGGUAAGGCACAAGAUUAUAUACGGAGCAUUAACUUGGUCAUGAUUCAUAGCACAUGUAAAACCUAAAAGCAUUUGAACACAAACGUUUGCUAGUGAAUAAGAUUGCACUUACACCAGAUAGCUCCAAGUCCACUCUCCAAGUCCACUUCUGUUGGAUUGGAGUGUGCUUCGCUCAAUAUCUCAUUGUACACAAUAUUUUUAGUUGAUGUUACUAUUUUCUUCUCAUUAGAAGAUGUAUCUAGUAUAACUUUUAUUUUCGAUGCUGUUGUGGCACGGGAAAGAGCAACAUAUAGUUGUCCAUGGGAAAACACGGGUUGCUGUAAAUUAAUGCCCACAAUAUCUAGUGUCUGCCCUUGAGCUUUAUUUAUCGUCAUAGCAAAACAGAGCCUUAUUGGGAAUUGACGCCUGGUGAAUUGGACUGGAUAAAGCUUAGCAUCGGAUGGUUGGAGUGAGAUACGAGGUAUGAAUACAAUGUCUCCUUGGUGCUCUCCAACAGCUAUUUGCGCCAUUAUGACGUGUUUAUGCAAUUUCCGACAUAUUAGCCUGGUUCCAUUGCAUAAUCCUUUGGAAGGAUCUAAGUUCCGCAACAUCAUCACUGGGCAAUUUUCCUUUAACACAAGCCGGUGGGAUGGCAAUCCAGGAGGACAUAUUGAAUGCAUGAAAUCAACGUAUAGUCCUUGGUCAGCUUGGUUGACUGUUUCAUCAAUGUUAAGGAACACGUACUCUUUUCCUGGAAAUCUGUUAAUCAACAGCUCGUUUGUUUGAUCUACUGAUUCAUUCCCGGGCGUUAGUAUUGCAGAUUGUGUCAUUGAUAUUGCAUCGAAAGAGUAGCGUCUUAAAUCUGGGAAUACAAAAUCUAUAAGUUGUUCAACAGGUGUGGUCUUUUGGUCAGGUGUGAUAACCAUCGAGGGAGGAAUUGUUAUCUCAUCAUUUGAAUUGCAUGGUUCCUCUCCGUUACCUACUCUUAAUAGGUAACUGCUAAACGACUGAUCUGUUCUAGCUCGCAUGUUUUCUUUGAGCGUGAAUUUUUUAAGAUAAGGCCAUAUGUGCAACCUCACCAAACUGGCAUCUAUACAAUCCUCCUUUGUACCCUUUGGUAUAACUGGUAGUACCUGUCUAAAAUCCCCACCAAGGACUACAACUUUGCUGCCAAACAAACUAUCAAUUUCUGUUAUGUCCUUUAAUAGAUUAUCUAGUGCUUCAAUACUCUGUCUUUUAGCCAUUGAUGCUUCAUCCCAUAUAAUCAAUGAAGUCGCUUUUAAUAGUUUUGCUAAACCUGUUUGUUUGCCAACGUUGCAGGAUAGCUUGCCAUCGCUAUCUAGUGGGAUCUUAAAGCGAGAAUGUGCAGUGCGACCAUUUGGCAAAAUUGAUGCAGCAACCCCAGAAGUAGCCGUUGCAAGUGCAAUACUCCUAGCAGAUCUUAUGGUUGCAAGUAAAGCACGAUAUAAGAAGGUUUUGCCUGUGCCACCAGGACCAUCUAUGAAAAAAGAGACGUUACUUGGGUUAAGCUUUCCGCAAGGACCAUGCAUCAUGUGUCUCAACACGGCUGCAUAGAGAUGUGGAUUUUCAUUUUCAUCCGAUAAGCGCAACUUGUGAUGCUGCUGGUGCACUAAAGGUUUUAUCAUUCACAAUUGGAUCAGCUCUAAGCCUUAUCUGUGUUGUAGAAGUACAGCUGAAGGUAGGAUGGCUUCCCAUCUGCAGGGUAUAGAGUGUGGAGGAAGUGGUAGAUUUGACCUUGAGCACGGAACGUGUAGAUCCCUUGGUGGUUUUUGGUGUACUGCGGGUCGAGAGUUACACCGAAUGAAGUGAAAGCGAACAUAUUGUUGUAAGGACGAAUAUGUGUUCGGAAAUCUUUGGAUAAUUUUGAAGAAUCUCGAUACAGGUUUAGUAGCUUAUCCAAAGUACACAAAGGAUAGAGGGAGACUUGACCCUUGGAGCAGCAAAAACCAUCAGGUUCAAAUGGGAAGCGUUUGGCAUGACAAUGAACACACUGAGGUACGCUCGGCAACACAAAUGGUUUGGUUGGUACUGGACGUCGACGUACAGGUACAUGUUGGCCAUUUGUAUUUCCUUUCCCUAUAUUAGCAAAACACGAGAGAACGGAACUAUUAGUUGUCGGGCGGGUAAUCCCCUGGUAUGAACAAAUACUUGAGUUUAAGUUUUAUAAAUAUACUGGAUCUUUUUGCGGCUGCAA